rnacentral:rRNA from 1 species
GACGAACGCUGGCGGCGUGCUUAACACAUGCAAGUCGAACGGAAAGGCCCUUCGGGGUCCUCGAGUGGCGAACGGGUGAGUAACACGUGGGUGAUCUGCCCUGCACUUUGGGAUAAGCCUGGGAAACUGGGUCUAAUACCGAAUAUGAUCAUCGGCUUCAUGGUCGGUGGUGGAAAGCUUUUGCGGUGUGGGAUGGGCCCGCGGCCUAUCAGCUUGUUGGUGGGGUAAUGGCCUACCAAGGCGACGACGGGUAGCCGGCCUGAGAGGGUGACCGGCCACACUGGGACUGAGAUACGGCCCAGACUCCUACGGGAGGCAGCAGUGGGGAAUAUUGCACAAUGGGCGCAAGCCUGAUGCAGCGACGCCGCGUGAGGGAUGACGGCCUUCGGGUUGUAAACCUCUUUCAGCACAGACGAAGCGAAAGUGACGGUAUGUGCAGAAGAAGGACCGGCCAACUACGUG